rnacentral:lncRNA from 1 species
ACAGUUGGCUUAUUUAUGAAUGUGUUGGAAUGUAGGAUUGGACGAAUAUACUGUGAAGUUGUUCGUUUAUUUGUAUAGUCUUGUUGACAUAUACUUAGACUUUGUUUCAUGUUGGAAGCAUUCAUGUUGAACUUUGAACCCAAGGGUUUCAUUGCUAGGAAUGUAAGAGGAUUAGGAUCAAGUUGUCUAAAUCACCUCUUUAUUGAAUUCAUGCCAAAUAGUCUUCGUUACAUAGGAUGCCGAACGGCUGAAGCUUAACAUUUGUACAAUGUGAGUUUACUUGUAAUAGUACUUCAAGUGAUCAGCGUUCCAUGGAUGGCCAAAGAUCUUGCCAUCGGAGCUUCUAAGCUUGUAGGAGCCAGGGCGACUGAUGCCAACAACUUCAAACGGUCCAU